UUGUGGUCUCAGAUUGGAUUACUGAGGACGAACCCCCAUAUAUACAGUACGAUGCUGGUUCUAUGCCUAAGAAUGCAUAUCCGUGGGACGCGGUGAAGAUGAGGGGCCUGAUCUCACCCCUGACGAAGAGUUGCUCCUUUUGACAAAACAAAUCACGGAGACACAGGGUUUCGACAUCGAUUUCAAGCAGUUCCGCUGCGUUUUUAAUUACCGACCCGUUGAUUAUGAUGAUACCGCUUUCGUCGUGAAACCAGAAACCCCCAGAGAGUUAAUGGAUAGGCUGUCUCGGGAAUCCCUUGCGGGUUACAAUGAAAGAGAGAAUACAAGAUAUGAGUUUGUGAAGGUUAUCAAAGCCAAUCUGCACUACUGGUACUCCUGCCGUAAUGUAUUUCAUUACCUUCAAAGGUAAGGAUCCUUCGUAUGAUCAGCCAAGAGAAUUUCGAGCUAAGGUCUUCUAUUUUUAUCAUUACCCGCCCAAGUACAUCUUUUGUGAUCUGAAACAUGAGAAAAUGGUACGUUUACAGAAGUAAUUGUUUCUAUGUAACAACAAGGCAGCUUUUGGAUCAAUCAUAUAUAGGUUUGUAGCAAAGGCAUAAAUUAUUUACAUCUGCCUCUUUCUCUUUGGAAGAUUUUCCUUUGUUUUCUUAUCCGUUGACAUCAAUUCAAAAGAGGAGCUAUCUAAUUCUAAUGUAUACUCGGUGGUGAGACAA